rnacentral:rRNA from 1 species
UGGGGAAUUUUGCGCAAUGGGCGAAAGCCUGACGCAGCAACGCCGCGUGGAGGAUGAAGGUCUUAGGAUUGUAAACUUCUGUUAAUUGGGAAGAAAUGUUUGAGGUGAAUAUCCUCAAAAGAUGACGUUACCGGUUUAGAAAGCCCCGGCUAACUUCGUGCCAGCAGCCGCGGUAAUACGAAGGGGGCGAGCGUUAUUCGGAAUGAUUGGGUGUAAAGGGCGCGUAGGCGGCUUAAUAAGUCUGUUGUUUAAUCCUCCGGCCUAACUGGAGAAAUGCAAUGGAAACUGUUUCGCUUGAGUAUGAGAGAGAGAAGUGGAAUUCUCGGAGUAGCGGUAAAAUGCGUAGAUCUCGAGAGGAACGCCAAUGGCGAAGGCAGCUUCUUGGAGCAUAACUGACGCU